rnacentral:rRNA from 1 species
GACGAACGCUGGCGGCGUGCUUAACACAUGCAAGUCGAACGGAAAGGCCUGCUUUCCCUUGUGGAUUGCGGGUACUCGAGUGGCGAACGGGUGAGUAACACGUGAGUGAUCUGCCCCCAACUUGGGUAUAAGCCUGGGAAACUGGGUCUAAUUCCCGAUAGGACUGCAGGGUGGUGCCUGUGGUGGAAAACGAUUUUCUAGUGGUUGGGGAUGAGCUCGCGGCCUAUCAGCUUGUUGGUGGGGUAAUGGCCUACCAAGGCGGCGACGGGUAGCCGGCCUGAGAGGGGGGACGGCCACAUUGGGACUGAGAUACGGCCCAGACUCCUACGGGAGGCAGCAGUGGGGAAUAUUGCACAAUGGGCGGAAGCCUGAUGCAGCGACGCCGCGUGGGGGAUGACGGCCUUCGGGUUGUAAACUCCUUUCGACCGCGAGGAAGCCACCUGGUUGGAAGGGUGGUGACGGUAGUGGUAGAAGAAGCACCGACUAACUACGUG